UUUGUCCCCCCCUGAGUCAUGUGACAUGUCAACGUUCUGUUGCUAUGCGCGUCACUGCUUUUGCUCCACAGAUCUUGACACUGACAGUUGGAGUUCGUUGGUGCCGUCAUACAAUUGUAAUCAAAUCAUUUUUCUUUUUACAGUACAAAUUUGUAAUACUGUGUUUUUUCCCCCUCAGAAAACUACAUUUAUCAAUCGAUAUGGAUCACUUGAGAGCGGUAUAUCGCUACCUCAGCACAGGUGAGUAUCCUGAACAAGCCACCAAAGAAGAGGGGUAUCAGAAAGAAAGCCAGUACAUUCGUUUUGAAAGGUAAGUACCUGUAUGUCCCUGAGAAGAAUGGAGAGUGUCUCUGUAGGGUUGUGACCGAUGAAGAGGAGAAGACUGCCAUUCUCAAUGAAGUUCACGCAGGACACUUUGGGAUCAAGAGAAUGAUGGGGAAAAUCAUUCAACGAUUUUACUGGAAAGGGAUUGUAAAGGACGUGGAGCAAUGGAUCCUGAAUUGUGAAGCAUGCCAGAGAUUUGAGAGGGUGAAG